AUAAAAACUUAUUUGAUACAACUCUAUAUCUCUGUAUAAUUCCCAAAAGAUAGAAGGGGAAUAUAAAGAAGAGAAAAAAAGGAGAAAAAGAAGACAAAAAUGUCAAUAUAUUACAACAUGGAGAUGUAGAAACAGACCAGAAACCCAAUAUGAUUUAUGUAAAGCAGGCCAAAUCGAUGUCUACAUUUAAUCCCAUUGGUUCUAGUGUUUUUAGUUGGUGAAUCCAAAAGGUUUCUCUCUGGGAUAGAUUUUUUAU